rnacentral:tRNA from 1 species
GGGGUUGUGGCUCAGUGGUAGAGCACUAUGCCUGGCAUGCAUAAGGCACUGGGUUCAAUCCUCAGCACCUCA